rnacentral:rRNA from 1 species
UACGAAGGGGGCUAGCGUUGUUCGGAAUCACUGGGCGUAAAGCGCACGUAGGCGGAUCUUUAAGUCAGAGGUGAAAGCCCGGGGCUCAACCCCGGAACUGCCUUUGAAACUAGGUAGCUAGAAUCUUGGAGAGGUCAGUGGAAUUCCGAGUGUAGAGGUGAAAUUCGUAGAUAUUCGGAAGAACACCAGUGGCGAAGGCGACUGACUGGACAAGUAUUGACGCUGAGGUGCGAAAGCGUGGGGAGCAAACAGG